GGUGCGGUGGCGAAGUGGCAACGCGGCGGUCUGCAAAACCGCUAUGCAGGGGUUCGAUUCCCCUCCGCACCUCCA
rnacentral:tRNA from 7 species